rnacentral:rRNA from 1 species
GACGAACGCUGGCGGCGUGCCUAAUACAUGCAAGUAGAACGCUGAAGGAGGAGCUUGCUUCUCUGGAUGAGUUGCGAACGGGUGAGUAACGCGUAGGUAACCUGCCUGGUAGCGGGGGAUAACUAUUGGAAACGAUAGCUAAUACCGCAUAAGAGUAGAUGUUGCAUGACAUUUGCUUAAAAGGUGCACUUGCAUCACUACCAGAUGGACCUGCGUUGUAUUAGCUAGUUGGUGGGGUAAGGGCUCACCAAGGCGACGAUACAUAGCCGACCUGAGAGGGUGAUCGGCCACACUGGGACUGAGACACGGCCCAGACUCCUACGGGAGGCAGCAGUAGGGAAUCUUCGGCAAUGGACGGAAGUCUGACCGAGCAACGCCGCGUGAGUGAAGAAGGUUUUCGGAUCGUAAAGCUCUGUUGUAAGAGAAGAACGAGUGUGAGAGUGGAAAGUUCACACU